GACGAACGCUGGCGGCGCGCCUAACACAUGCAAGUCGAACGGAGCAUUGAGAGCUUGCUUUUAAUGCUUAGUGGCGAACGGGUGAGUAACGCGUGAGUAACCUGCCCUGGAGUGGGGGACAACAGUUGGAAACGACUGCUAAUACCGCAUAAGCCCACGAUCCGGCAUCGGAUUGAGGGAAAAGGAUUUAUUCGCUUCAGGAUGGACUCGCGUCCAAUUAGCUAGUUGGUGAGGUAACGGCCCACCAAGGCGACGAUUGGUAGCCGGACUGAGAGGUUGAACGGCCACAUUGGGACUGAGACACGGCCCAGACUCCUACGGGAGGCAGCAGUGGGGGAUAUUGCACAAUGGGGGAAACCCUGAUGCAGCGACGCCGCGUGGAGGAAGAAGGUUUUCGGAUUGUAAACUCCUGUCGUUAGGGACGAUAAUGACG
rnacentral:rRNA from 1 species